rfam:Triticum aestivum genome assembly, contig: Triticum_aestivum_CS42_TGACv1_scaffold_472678_6AL
AGCUGGCACCCUCCGUCCGAAAAUACUUGUCAUCAAAAUGGAUAAAAAGAGAUGUAUAGAUACAUCUCUUUUUAUCCAUUUUGAUGACAAGUAUUUCCAGACGAAGGGAGUACGUA